AGCAAUUUAAAGGAUAAUGUUUUAGCCUCUACCAGUUACUGAGAGGUAUCCAAAACUGUGCUUGUGGAUAAAUGUGCCCAAAACACCCUGAUUGAUUUGCCAGUGGAAUUCAUCUAAAAACCCUCAGGGAGGGGGAAUCAAGAUGAUGACUUAGAAGCUGCAAAAGUCCAUUCCUCUGUGAAAACCCUUCCACACCAAUCAAAAACAAAUUGCUUCAAAGGGGGCAGGAAAUCAAAUCCAACAGGAUAGAGCUGAGGGACCCUCCUGCUCGAUUCAACUUAAAAGGGACCAAGUAUUGUCUAGAGUCAAGUCAGAACAGAGUCGGGUAGAUGUUCCCCACUGCGACCACCUAGAAGAGUCACUGAAGUCCAGUGGCAAGUUAAAAGUCAAGAAGACUGAUGAUGGUCCAGGAUGCACUGGAGACCUGGACUUUUUUGAAGCCUAUCCAAGCUCUAAACACACUGCAGCUCCUGUUUCCACCCCUUCUGCUGGAGAAAGUCUUCAUAUGUCUAGAGUAGACAAAUACCCUCCUGACCAAUUUAUCAACAUGUUUGAGACCUGUUGGUUACUUUUUACCUGGUUUAGUCCAUCUUCAAAGGUAGUUUACCAGGGUUUGAUCUCUGUGCAUGAUUAGCUUCUUGGAACCACAGAUGAAAGCUGGAUGGUAGUUGAACAUCAGAGGAGGAAAAGAGCUCUGUAAAGGCUUGUCGAGCCUUUGCAACAAAGGUACCCUCCUUAGGUGGCACAGUGGAUAUAGUGCCCUGCCUGGGGAUGGAAGACAUCUUCCUGAGUUCAAAUCUGACCUUAUUACCCCAACUGACAAAAUGGUUAAAGGAUAUGAAUAGGCAAUUCUCAGAUGAAAUUAAAUCUAUCUUUAUUUAUAUGAAAAAGUGCUCCAAAUCAUUAUUAAUUAGAGCGCUGCAAAUUAAGACAACUCUGAAAUACUACACAUCUAUCAGAAUGGCUAAUUGACAGAAAAGGAAAAUGAUAAAUGUUGGUGGGGAUGUGGAAAUAUUGAGACACUAAUAUACUGUUUGUAGAGCUGUGAAGUGAUACAGCCAUUCUGGAGAGCAAUCUGGAAUCAUGUUCAAAGGGCCAUAAAAGUGUACAUAUUCUUUAAUCCCAUAAUAGCACUAUUAGUCCUGCAUCCCAAAGAGAUCCAAGAUAGGGGAAAAGAAUCUACUUGUACAAAAAUAUGUAUAGCAUCUCUUUUUUGGUGGCAAAGAACUGGAAACUGAAGGUUUGUCCAUCAACUAGGGAAUGGCUGAAC
rnacentral:lncRNA from 1 species